AGGAGUCUGUCAGAAGGUCCUCUGGGCUGCAUGAGCAUGGGUCUCCAAUACCUAUACUAAUCAACAGAGCUCACCAUUAUCUGGAAGACAGACAUUCUUCUGUAAGCUGCUGGGUCUUUGCUGUACUCUUCUAUAGUUUUUGUAGGACAUAUUGGCAGGAAGGUGUGGCUCCUUUCUCCAUACAUGGUCCUUUGCUGUUUCCUGACUUUAUCCCCACACACUACUACUGUUCUCUGGCAUUGACCCACAUGACAUAGGUCUGUUGACCCUAAACUGUCAUAUCCAGACCAUUUGUAUGCAGCAGAGCCCUCUGGUUCCUAAUUUAUAGGUGCAAGUCCUUGGCCCAGCUUGUCUCCCCAGGUACUUGUCCAUCAGCAUGUGUUCCCACUCUGAGGAUAUGGGAUGUGAAACCACAGACCUGAAAGGGCAUGUCUUCCUGGUACAUCCAAUUGACACAAAGCUUUGAGAGGAGAGAAAUGCUAUUUUUAUAUUAAAGCAAACACUGAUAUUAUGGAAUAGCACAGAAAAUUCAAGUUACAUUUCAAGAUAAAAGAGGCAAUUUCAAAGCAAUUUUAUCCUUCCUUGCCUCAGGCAUGUCAGGCUUUUCCCCCCUGGACCCUGGAGGGUGUGUGCUAGCUCCCCUCUCCUCAUGGGGACUUGACUGAAAGUACAUUAGUUAGAUUGAGGUCCUUUGCCCCAGAAGUAGAAGUUUAUCUUAGGAGUGAAGAGGCCAGCCCUGAUUCCCCUCUGUACUGGGCUGUAUCCACUCCCCACUGCCUUGUAUCUGAGCACUCAUCUGCUUUCGCUGGCGUCUUCAGCAUUUCUCCUGAAUGGUUUUGGUUUACCUUGACCCUGACCACCAUGGCUAUCUCUUAUGUCACCUCCAUUGUUACUGGUCUCCUCUAUCUCUCUGGAAAUCUGGUUGGCUCGUCUCAUUUUCUUAAGUAUGCUCAUAGAACACUGGCCAGGCUGAGAAUUGCUGUUCUUAUGGACUCGGGGUCACCUUAAAAGACACACUUGGCUGAGCCACUAUCUAGGUUGCUGAGCAGACUGGAAUGGUUGGUCUAGAAAGGUGUGUACACUGGUUAUCAGCCUAGCAUGCUCCCAGAGAAGUGAGCUCUCUCUCCCCAGCACAUCCUACCUGUUCCAUGGGCAUCCUGUCCAAGACCCUCCUGCCUUACCAUGCUUCCCACAGUACACCAUAGUUAGAAGGAGUACCUGCCCACUGCCACACAAGUGGCUGUAAUGCUUUCCUCCCAGCAGGUUGCCCAAAUAGGCUUCCUCCCAGGCUAAGCCAGAGCACAGUGUCACUGGCAACUGGAGGAAAGGGUGAGGGAGCAGAGCCUCAAUGUAGGGAGGCCCUGUUUGGUAUAUGAGAUCUGCUGCCAGGGCCAGAGGUACUAUAGAUGGAUUGGCUAUUUGAACAGGCUGGCAUCUUUAUCAUGGAGGCUAGCUGUGUUUCAGUGCCAUUAACCAUCCUUCAUGUCUGUGUGCCAUGUUAUGUAUGAGGUUCUCCUCACAAGAGUGCCGUGUUAUCUGUAGAUAGCAACCCUCAUGUCUUUUUCUUCUUCUCUUGGAUUAACAUAACAGCAACACUGGUUAAUGUGCUAGAGACACUGUUCCUCUAAUAGACAUUAGGAACAGAGCAUACUUGCUCACUUGUAAUAGAGAGUAACACAGGGGAUGACAUGGAGAGUCACACAGACCCGAAUUUUCACCUUGCCUCUGCUACUCACAGGUUCUGUGACCUUGUGCAGGUUUUUUGUCUGUCUGAAUCUCUUCUCAUCUAUAAAAAUGGUGCCCUGGCCGCUGUGGGAGAUCUUAAUGAGGUCUAAUAUAUUAGGUGAUGAGACGCUCUAGCCAUUCUGACCUUUACCCAGUGCAUCCCCAUAGGGCCAAAGCUGGAGGUGCCCGCCAUACCUCGUUUCCUCCAGCUGCCUGGCAUUGUAGACUCAGUUGGAACAUGAGCAUGGAACAUUUUUGUGUGGACUGUCCUAUCUAAUAAGUACCUUUGGUACCCUAAAGGAAGGCAGUAACUUCAGUCUUUGUAGGAGGAAACACGGAGCCUGCCUUAUGUUUCAAUGAGGAUCAUGAGGUGAUAGUUACAUGGAGAGCUUCCUUCAGAACAUUUGUCAGGAUGACACUUUGUGGAUGUGGCUCUGAUAGACCCUGGAAGCUUCAGGCCAGGUUCCUCAGGUCCACGCUUCAGCACUAAACCCACCACCUCUCAAGCCCACUUCCUGAUGGGCUUACUCUUCAGACACAUAGUAGACAGACUGGGAACUAGAGCCAGAUACUUCCUUCCUCAGCAGAGCUGAAAAGUAAAAACUAGGAAAGCUUGUUUUGUCUGCUACUUGCUUGUUUGAGAUCCCUUCUCCUCAGCUGGAAAGUUACUAGUUAACAUGCCAUUGUAAAUCCACAGAGCAUGUGACUAUGCUAGGCACUGGGCUAGGCAGCACACCCUCACCCCACCCCACCCCCCAAGCAGCCACACUUCUUGCACACAGAUACCCAGGUAGCAGGUGAGGGAACAAGCCCACUGAGCCUGGCUUUCCCAACUCCACAUAGUCAUGUGGCAGCAAGAGAUGGAGCAGGCCUGCCAAGCCUGGGCUGCUUGGCUCCACAUGGCAGUAGAGAUAACAAGUGAAGAAGCAGGCUUUCUAAACCCUGAUUGCUUGACUCUUUUUCUCUCUCUUCUUUCUUUAUCACUUAAGUCUCAGCACGUUGGAGAUGGUCCCUUCUAAUCUGUUGUGCGGCAUUAAACACCUCCCUUCCCUGCCAGCUUACCUUGUCUAUCCCCCUCCAGCCCAUAGGCCCCUGGGUCAGUGUGGUCCUUGCUGAGCCAGUUCCUGAUAUCUGGGAGGUACUACUACAUCCCCAUCAGCUAAGUGGUAAAUGAUGUCUCCCAUGGCAGCAAGGAGGGUCUAUGUUUGCUAGAACUCCCAGAACAGAGGACCGGGAAAUGAGGGUCUCAGACACAAAACUAAUUGCAUCAUGUGUGACUGCUGAGUCUGGCAGCUGCAAGUCAAGAUGUAGAUGAUGAUGCUGCCUCUGAAAAUGCUAGGGAAGAUCUACUUUAGGUCUCCUCUCCAUUCUGGUAGUCUCUUGGCUUGUGGGUAUGCAGCUCCAGUUUUCAUGUGACAAUGUCCCUGUGCAUGUGUCUCUCAUAUCCAAAUCUCCACUUCUCAUAACGAUGCCAGUCAUUCUAGAUUAGAUCACCCUUCUCCAGUAUGGCCUCAUGGAACUAAUUGCAUCUAUAGUGACCUUCAUUUUCUAGUAAGGUUAUAUGAUAACAAAUAAUCAGAGCUGGAAUAGGGGGGCAUACAGUUCACUUCAUAAGUUGUGCUGUAUGUGUUGGAAUUCCAGCAGGCAUCUUGUUUAGUUUAUCUGGACCAGGCCAUUAUUGGCUACUCACCAUCCUGGUGACCAGGGUAUUGAUAUACUGGAUGCCUGGCAUUGGGCACUCCACACCAGCCUUAGACUCUGUAAAACCAUAUGGAUUUCCCAAAGGAAAUCAAGAGUACUCAGAGAAGGAGAAAAGGUAUAAAGAAUAGAUUUACUCAGGUGGACCCACCCUGAAAGCUCAUAGUCUCUAAGAGUUGUGUGGCUGUGACCAAAAUGCCUAAUAU
rnacentral:lncRNA from 1 species